rnacentral:rRNA from 1 species
AUUGAACGCUGGCGGCAUGCUUUACACAUGCAAGUCGAACGGUAACAGGUCUUCGGAUGCUGACGAGUGGCGAACGGGUGAGUAAUACAUCGGAACGUGCCUAGUAGUGGGGGAUAACUACUCGAAAGAGUAGCUAAUACCGCAUGAGAUCUACAGAUGAAAGCAGGGGACCUUCGGGCCUUGUGCUACUAGAGCGGCUGAUGGCAGAUUAGGUAGUUGGUGGGGUAAAGGCUUACCAAGCCUGCGAUCUGUAGCUGGUCUGAGAGGACGACCAGCCACACUGGGACUGAGACACGGCCCAGACUCCUACGGGAGGCAGCAGUGGGGAAUUUUGGACAAUGGGCGAAAGCCUGAUCCAGCAAUGCCGCGUGCAGGAUGAAGGCCCUCGGGUUGUAAACUGCUUUUGUACGGAACGAAAAGCCUGGGGCUAAUAUCCCCGGGUCAUGACGGUACCGUAAGAAUAAGCACCGGCUAACUACGUG